rnacentral:lncRNA from 1 species
AUGCCAUCUGAUUCUGCUAACAACUGCACUUCUCCUUCUCCUCCUUUCGUUCCAUCUCUUUUUCCCCUCUUCCCCUCCUCUCCUCUGUCCCCCUGUUGUCCAAUCCUUCCAUAUCGUAUUCUCUUCCUCUGUCCCUCUGUUGUCCAAUCCUUCCAUAUCUUCUUCUCUUCCUCUGUCCCCCUGUUGUCCAAUCCUUCCAUAUCUUCUUCUCUUCCUCUGUCCCCCUGUUGUCCAAUCCUUCCAUAUCUUCUUCUCUUCCUCUGUCCCUCUGUUGUCCAAUCCUUCCAUAUCUUCUUCUCUUCCUCUGUCCCUCUGUUGUCUAAUCCUUCCAUAUCUUCUUCCCUUCCUCUGUUGUCCAAUCCUUCCAUAUCUUCUUCCCUUCCUCUGUUGUCCAAUCCUUCCAUAUCUUCUUCCCUUCCUCUGUUGUCCAAUCCUUCCAUAUCUUCUUCUCUUCCUCUGUCCCUCUGUUGUCCAAUCCUGCCUUAUCUUCUUCUCUUCCUCUGCCCCCCUGUUGUCCAAUCCUUCCAUAUCUUCUUCCCUUCCUCUGUCCCCCUGUUGUCCAAUCCUUCCAUAUCUUCUUCUCUUCCUCUGUCCCUCUGUUGUCCAAUCCUUCCAUAUCUUCUUCUCUUCCUCUGCCCCCCUGUUGUCCAAUCCUUCCAUAUCUUCUUCUCUUCCUCUGUCCCUCUGUUGUCCAAUCCUUCCAUAUCUUCUUCUCUUCCUCUGCCCCCCUGUUGUCCAAUCCUUCCAUAUCUUCUUCUCUUCCUCUGUCCCUCUGUUGUCCAAUCCUUCCAUAUCUUCUUCUCUUCCUCUGUCCCUCUGUUGUCCAAUCCUUCCAUAUCUUCUUCCCUUCCUCUGUCCCCCUGUUGUCCAAUCCUUCCAUAUCUUCUUCUCUUCCUCUGUCCCUCUGUUGUCCAAUCCUUCCAUAUCUUCUUCUCUUCCUCUGUCCCUCUGUUGUCCAAUCCUUCCAUAUCUUCUUCUCUUCCUCUGUCCCUCUGUUGUCCAAUCCUUCCAUAUCUUCUUCCCUUCCUCUGUCCCCCUGUUGUCCAAUCCUUCCAUAUCUUCUUCUCUUCCUCUGUUGUCCAAUCCUUCCAUGUUUUCUUCCCUUCCUCUGUCCCUCUGUUGUCCAAUCCUUCCAUAUCUUCUUCUCUUCCUCUGUCCCUCUGUUGUCCAAUCCUUCCAUAUCUUCUUCCCUUCCUCUGUCCCUCUGUUGUCCAAUCCUUCCAUAUCUUCUUCUCUUCCUCUGUCCCUCUGUUGUCCAAUCCUUCCAUAUCUUCUUCCCUUCCUCUGUCCCCCUGUUGUCCAAUCCUUCCAUAUCUUCUUCUCUUCCUCUGUCCCUCUGUUGUCCAAUCCUUCCAUAUCUUCUUCUCUUCCUCUGUCCCUCUGUUGUCCAAUCCUUCCAUAUCUUCUUCUCUUCCUCUGUCCCUCUGUUGUCCAAUCCUUCCAUAUCUUCUUCCCUUCCUCUGUCCCUCUGUUGUCCAAUCCUUCCAUAUCUUCUUCUCUUCCUCUGUUGUCCAAUCCUUCCAUGUUUUCUUCCCUUCCUCUGUCCCUCUGUUGUCCAAUCCUUCCAUAUCUUCUUCUCUUCCUCUGUCCCUCUGUUGUCCAAUCCUUCCAUAUCUUCUUCUUCCCUUCCUCUGUCCCCCUGUUGUCCAAUCCUUCCAUAUCUUCUUCUCUUCCUCUGUCCCUCUGUUGUCCAAUCCUUCCAUAUCUUCUUCCCUUCCUCUGUCCCUCUGUUGUCCAAUCCUUCCAUAUCUUCUUCUCUUCCUCUGUCCCUCUGUUGUCCAAUCCUUCCAUAUCUUCUUCCCUUCCUCUGUCCCCCUGUUAUCCAAUCCUUCCAUAUCUUCUUCUCUUCCUCUGUCCCUCUGUUGUCCAAUCCUUCCAUAUCUUCUUCUCUUCCUCUGUCCCUCUGUUGUCCAAUCCUUCCAUAUCUUCUUCUCUUCCUCUGUCCCUCUGUUGUCCAAUCCUUCCAUAUCUUCUUCCCUUCCUCUGUCCCCCUGUUGUCCAAUCCUUCCAUAUCUUCUUCUCUUCCUCUGUUGUCCAAUCCUUCCAUGUUUUCUUCCCUUCCUCUGUCCCUCUGUUGUCCAAUCCUUCCAUAUCUUCUUCCCUUCCUCUGUCCCCCUGUUGUCCAAUCCUUCCAUAUCUUCUUCUCUUCCUCUGUCCCUCUGUUGUCCAAUCCUUCCAUAUCUUCUUCCCUUCCUCUGUCCCCCUGUUGUCCAAUCCUUCCAUAUCUUCUUCUCUUCCUCUGUCCCUCUGUUGUCCAAUCCUUCCAUAUCUUCUUCCCUUCCUCUGUCCCCCUGUUGUCCAAUCCUUCCAUAUCUUCUUCUGUUCCUCUGUCCCUCUGUUGUCCAAUCCUUCAAUAUCUUCUUCUCUUCCUCUGUUGUCCAAUCCUUCCAUAUCUUCUUCUCUUCCUCUGUCGUCCAAUCCUUCCAUAUCUUCUUCCCUUCCUCUGUCCCCCUGUUGUCCAAUCCUUCCAUAUCUUCUUCUCUUCCUCUGUCCCUCUGUUGUCCAAUCCUUCCUUAUCUUCUUCUCUUCCUCUGCCCCCCUGUUGUCCAAUCCUUCCAUAUCUUCUUCCCUUUCUCUGUCCCCCUGUUGUCCAAUCCUUCCAUAUCUUCUUCUCUUCCUCUGUCCCUCUGUUGUCCAAUCCUUCCAUAUCUUCUUCUCUUCCUCUGCCCCCCUGUUGUCCAAUCCUUCCAUAUCUUCUUCUCUUCCUCUGUCCCUCUGUUGUCCAAUCCUUCCAUAUCUUCUUCUCUUCCUCUGCCCCCCUGUUGUCCAAUCCUUCCAUAUCUUCUUCUCUUCCUCUGUCCCUCUGUUGUCCAAUCCUUCCAUAUCUUCUUCUCUUCCUCUGUCCCUCUGUUGUCCAAUCCUUCCAUAUCUUCUUCCCUUCCUCUGUCCCCCUGUUGUCCAAUCCUUCCAUAUCUUCUUCUCUUCCUCUGUCCCUCUGUUGUCCAAUCCUUCCAUAUCUUCUUCUCUUCCUCUGUCCCUCUGUUGUCCAAUCCUUCCAUAUCUUCUUCUCUUCCUCUGUCCCUCUGUUGUCCAAUCCUUCCAUAUCUUCUUCCCUUCCUCUGUCCCCCUGUUGUCCAAUCCUUCCAUAUCUUCUUCUCUUCCUCUGUUGUCCAAUCCUUCCAUGUUUUCUUCCCUUCCUCUGUCCCUCUGUUGUCCAAUCCUUCCAUAUCUUCUUCUCUUCCUCUGUCCCUCUGUUGUCCAAUCCUUCCAUAUCUUCUUCCCUUCCUCUGUCCCUCUGUUGUCCAAUCCUUCCAUAUCUUCUUCUCUUCCUCUGUCCCUCUGUUGUCCAAUCCUUCCAUAUCUUCUUCUCUUCCUCUGUCCCCCUGUUGUCCAAUCCUUCCAUAUCUUCUUCUCUUCCUCUGCCCCCCUGUUGUCCAAUCCUUCCAUAUCUUCUUCUCUUCCUCUGUCGUCCAAUUCUUCCAUAUCUUCUUCCCUUCCUCUGUCCCCCUGUUGUCCAAUCCUUCCAUAUCUUCUUCUCUUCCUCUGUCCCUCUGUUGUCCAAUCCUUCCAUAUCUUCUUCUCUUCCUCUGCCCCCCUGUUGUCCAAUCCUUCCAUAUCGUAUUCUCUUCCUCUGUCCCCCUGUUGUCCAAUCCUUCCAUAUCUUCUUCCCUUCCUCAGUCCCUCUGUUGUCCAAUCCUUCCAUAUCUUCUUCUCUUCCUCUGUCCCUCUGUUGUCCAAUCCUUCCAUAUCUUCUUCUCUUCCUCUGUCCCUCUGUUGUCCAAUCCUUCCAUAUCUUCUUCUCUUCCUCUGUCCCUCUGUUGUCCAAUCCUUCCAUAUCUUCUUCUCUUCCUCUGUCCCUCUGUUGUCCAAUCCUUCCAUAUCUUCUUCCCUUCCUCUGUCCCCCUGUUGUCCAAUCCUUCCAUAUCUUCUUCUCUUCCUCUGUUGUCCAAUCCUUCCAUGUUUUCUUCCCUUCCUCUGUCCCUCUGUUGUCCAAUCCUUCCAUAUCUUCUUCUCUUCCUCUGUCCCUCUGUUGUCCAAUCCUUCCAUAUCUUCUUCCCUUCCUCUGUCCCUCUGUUGUCCAAUCCUUCCAUAUCUUCUUCUCUUCCUCUGUUGUCCAAUCCUUCCAUGUUUUCUUCCCUUCCUCUGUCCCUCUGUUGUCCAAUCCUUCCAUAUCUUCUUCUCUUCCUCUGUCCCUCUGUUGUCCAAUCCUUCCAUAUCUUCUUCCCUUCCUCUGUCCCUCUGUUGUCCAAUCCUUCCAUAUCUUCUUCCCUUCCUCUGUCCCCCUGUUGUCCAAUCCUUCCAUAUCUUCUUCUCUUCCUCUGUCCCUCUGUUGUCCAAUCCUUCCAUAUCUUCUUCUCUUCCUCUGCCCCACUGUUGUCCAAUCCUUCCAUAUCUUCUUCUCUUCCUCUGCCCCCCUGUUGUCCAAUCCUUCCAUAUCUUCUUCUCUUCCUCUGUUGUCCAAUCCUUCCAUAUCUUCUUCUCUUCCUCUGUCCCUCUGUUGUCCAAUCCUUCCAUAUCUUCUUCCCUUCCUCUGUCCCUCUGUUGUCCAAUCCUUCCAUAUCUUCUUCUCUUCCUCUGUCCCUCUGUUGUCCAAUCCUUCCAUAUCUUCUUCCCUUCCUCUGUCCCUUUGUUGUCCAAUCCUUCCAUAUCUUCUUCUCUUCCUCUGUCCCUCUGUUGUCCAAUCCUUCCAUAUCUUCUUCCCUUCCUCUGUCCCCCUGUUGUCCAAUCCUUCCAUAUCUUCUUCUCUUCCUCUGCCCCCCUGUUGUCCAAUCCUUCCAUAUCUUCUUCUCUUCCUCUGCCCCCCUGUUGUCCAAUCCUUCCAUAUCUUCUUCUCUUCCUCUGUCCCCCUGUUGUCCAAUCCUUCCAUAUCUUCUUCUCUUCCUCUGCCCCCCUGUUGUCCAAUCCUUCCAUAUCUUCUUCUCUUCCUCUGCCCCCCUGUUGUCCAAUCCUUCCAUAUCGUCUUCUCUUCCUCUGUCCCUCUGUUGUCCAAUCCUUCCAUAUCUUCUUCUCUUCCUCUGUCCCUCUGUUGUCCAAUCCUUCCAUAUCUUCUUCUCUUCCUCUGUCCCUCUGUUGUCCAAUCCUUCCAUAUCUUCUUCUCUUCCUCUGUCCCUCUGUUGUCCAAUCCUUCCAUAUCUUCUUCCCUUUCUCUGCUCCUCUGUUGCUGUUGUCCAUUCCUUCCAUCUCUCUUCCUCUCCUCUCACCCCCUGUCAUCCUCUCUUUCGUUCCCCAUCUCCUCUCCUCUCAUCGGCCCCUGGCUCCUUUAAAGGCAUUGUCCCCUUGUUGUCACCUCUUUAAAGGAGGGAGACACCAUUUCCUCUUUGGAGUUGUUUUGCCUCUGGUGUGUACACACCAAACAAAUUAGAAACAGUAAACC